rnacentral:lncRNA from 1 species
AAUUUUUUUUGUUAUAUAUCAUUUUCUGACUAGAUUUUCUAUUACAUUUUAAUUAGUGAUGAAAAACUAAUUUAUUAGUGACAAAAAAUAUUUCCAUCGCAAAUGCAUUGCUAUUUUUUUUUACAUCAUUAAAUAUUUUUAAAAGUUUCAAAUAUUCCAUAUCCAUGCAUAGUUUGUUUUAUGAAAACUAGAAACAUAAUAAGCUCGGGAUAUCAUUUACUUCACACAAACUUACAUGAAUAAAUCCAAAAGUUAAUUCUAAAACGUACAAUUAUAUAUCUAAAGUUGAUUCAUCCUCAAUAUACUACUAUUCUACAAGAGACACAAUAAAAACUAGCUAAUGGGAGGCUAGAGAAUAAGAUGAACUCAAAUGUAUAUUCUUGUCAAACUAAAAUAAUUCAAACUAUGUACAUUGGGUUAGAUAUUUUAUCUUUAAUCUAUAAAAUUCUAGGGAGAUCUACAUUAAAAAAGAAAAAAUUCUAAGUAAUUGAUUUGGGGAUUGAAAAUGUCGCCACCCGAUUGCAUCCAAGGAAGAAAUAACUUCAGUUUUCAUGAUCUUCUUGCAUUCAAGGAUUAAAAUGUACCUUGUAAAUUCAAAAGAAACAACAAUUAGCACAAAAAUGAUGAGCAAACCUAAGGAAAAUUAUACAAAUGUCACGUUUAAUUUGUAAAAAUGCUAAUAGAAUUUCAAGAAGAAAAAAAUUAUGUCUUGAUAUUCUUCUACAAGAAUUUUUAACAAAUAAUAAAAAGGAAAAACUCAAAGCAACAACACAAGUACACGAACCUAUACACCUUUUAAAGAACUUCUUAAGGGAUCUUCACCUCAAUAAUAUAACCUUAUAAUUUUUAAGUUCCCACGCAAUAUUUAUAACAAAUAAAAUACAAUAUUUAUCAAAUUAUUGAGAUAUAUAACCCGCAAAAUUUAACCAAAAAAUCUAAGUCAAAUAGGUAUAAGGAGAUUUAAAAACCUUAAAAUAUAGAGAUAUGAAUAUAACUCGGAAGAGGAAGGCACCGAAUUAACGAUGGUUGAAGAAGAAAUGGGAAAGCGGGAGGAGGGGUGGCGGCUGAGAAGGGGAGGAUGUGAGGUUGAAGUUAGGUUUUGGUUUGGCUUUGCUAUUGCUUUACUGUUUC